rnacentral:rRNA from 1 species
UACGUAGGGGGCAAGCGUUAUCCGGAUUUACUGGGUGUAAAGGGUGCGUAGACAGUUAGACAUGUCUGAAGUGAAAUGCAUGGGCUCAACUCAUGAACUGCUUUGGAAACUGCCAAACUAGAGUACAGGAGGGGUAAGCGGAAUUCCUGGUGUAGCGGUGAAAUGCUUAGAUAUCAGGAGGAACACCGGCGGCGAAGGCGGCUUACUGGACUGUAACUGACGUUGAGGCACGAAAGCGUAGGGAGCAAAC